rnacentral:tRNA from 1 species
GGAGAGGUGCCGGAGUGGUCGAACGGGCUUGACUCGAAAUCAAGUGUACGCCUCGUGCGUACCGUGGGUUCGAAUCCCACCCUCUCCG